GACGAACGCUGGCGGCGUGCUUAACACAUGCAAGUCGAACGGAAAGGCCCUGCUUUUGUGGGGUGCUCGAGUGGCGAACGGGUGAGUAACGCGUGAGUAACCUGCCCUUGACUUUGGGAUAACUUCAGGAAACUGGGGCUAAUACCGGAUAGGAGCUCCUGCUGCAUGGUGGGGGUUGGAAAGUUUCGGCGGUUGGGGAUGGACUCGCGGCUUAUCAGCUUGUUGGUGGGGUAGUGGCUUACCAAGGCUUUGACGGGUAGCCGGCCUGAGAGGGCGACCGGCCACAUUGGGACUGAGAUACGGCCCAGACUCCUACGGGAGGCAGCAGUGGGGAAUAUUGCACAAUGGGCGGAAGCCUGAUGCAGCAACGCCGCGUGCGGGAUGACGGCCUUCGGGUUGUAAACCGCUUUCGCCUGUGACGAAGCGUGAGUGACGGUAAUGGGUAAAGAAGCACCGGCUAACUACGUG
rnacentral:rRNA from 1 species